rnacentral:rRNA from 1 species
GACUACUAGGGUAUCUAAUCCUGUUCGCUACCCACGCUUUCGUGCCUCAGCGUCAAUCAAGGCCCAGUUAGCUGCCUUCGCAAUUGGUGUUCCAUGACAUAUCUAUGCAUUUCACCGCUACAUGUCACAUUCCGCUAACCUCAACCCAAUUCAAGAAAAUCAGUAUCAAUGGCAGUUCUAUCGUUAAGCGACAGGAUUUCACCACUGACUUAAUUCUCCGCCUACGCACCCUUUAAACCCAGUGAUUCCGGAUAACGCUUGCACCCUCCGUAUUACCGCGGCUGCUGGCACGGAGUUAGCCGGUGCUUAUUCCGCAGAUACCGUCACUCCAUCAUAAAUGAUGGGUCUUCGUCUCUGCUAAAAGCAGUUUACAAUCCAUAGGACCUUCAUCCUGCACGCGGGAUGGCUGGUUCAGACUUUCGUCCAUUGACCAAUAUUCCUUACUGCAGCCGCCCGUAGG